GGAGAAUAUUCAGUUGAAUUGCAAAUGGUUGCCUAGAACAGCUAAAUAGAGAGCAGACACAUUAAGCAGAAUGAAUGAUUGUGAUGACUGGGCAAUUAAACAGGGAGUGUUUGAAUAUUUUGAUGAAGCAUGGGGUAAGCAUACAUGUGACAGAUUUGCUUCUAAAUAUAAUAGUAAGUGUGAAGUAUUCAAUUCCAAAUACCGGUGCGCUGAAUCAAGCGGAGUCGAUGCUUUUGAACGGGUAUGGUCAGAUUGUGUUAGCUGGGUUGUACCACCACCUUGUUUGAGACAAAGAUGUGUAAGAAAAAUUGAGUUUGAGAGGUGUAAGUGUACUCUGGUGAUACCAGAGUGGAAAUCUGCACCCUUCUGGCCAAUGUUGGUCUGUAAGGAUGGCAAUUUCAUUUGGUAUGUAAGAAAUAUAGCCAAACUUAAAAAUGUUGAUGUUGUGUGUAGAGGUAGGGGAAAGAACGGUAUAUUUGGUAAAGAAGGACUUGUGUUUAAUAUGAUGUUCUUAUGAAUUGAAUUUUGAUUUUUCAGGAAUAGGUUUGCAGAAUAGAGUUCGGAAGGUAGCGCUGGACAGUGGAGUGAAACCUGGCAGUUAUUUGGACGAUCUUUGUCCCCACAUGAGUGUUUUGAUAUUAUCAAGUAAAAGUGACAACACGAACAAAAACUAUUUCAACGCUUUCAAAAGGUGGGAGACCUUCAUCAAAUCACAUGGACAUAGUGCACUUCCGGCAAACCCCAUUCACGUGGCAUUGUAUUUGACACACCUUUUAGAUAAUGGCGCAACGCAACAUCCAAUUCAUUCGGUUGUGUACGGGAUCAAGUGGGCGCAUGACUGUUUGGGAUUUACAGAUCCUACAAAAAAUUCAUUUGUUCUAUUAAUACAGGAAGCAGCGAGGAGAAAAGUGUCUAAAUCUGUAAACAAAAAGGACCGAAUUACCAAAGAAGUUUUAAUAGAGUUGUGUGUUAAGUUCCAGGAUUCAACUGACUUGUUAAUUGUUAGAAACCUCACAAUGAUUUUGUUUAGUUUUGCUGGUUUUUUGCGAUUUGAUUAGUUAAGGUCUCUCUGUUUCAACGAUGUACUGAUUGAUGAUGAUUAUUUAGUGAUAUGCAUCAGAAAAAGCAAGACGGAUCAAUAUCGGCAAGGGAACGAAGUACUUAUUUCAAAAGGGGAUACGCCUGCCUGUCCGGUGAGCAUGUACCAGCGCUAUUUGGAACUUGUUGGAGAUGUGGGUGAUAAACAUUUUUUUGUAUUCAGACCUAUUUUUAGGUCGAAAGACAAUUGUAAACUGUUUUUUAAAAAUAAAAAGAUAAGUUAUUUUGCUUCAAGAAAUAACAUAAUACCACUUAUUAAAUCUGUUGUUGGGGAAGUAGAUAUAGGGCUUCAUUCUUUAAGGUCGGGGGGAGCGACUGUGGCUGCAAAUUCUGAUGUUGAUGAUAGAUGUCUUAAAAGACAUGGUAGAUGGAAAACAGAUAGUUCCAAAAGACGGCUAUAUUGUUGACUCAGUUGAGAAGCGUUUGAUAGUUUCAAAAUCUCUGGGUUUGUAAUCACAGUCGUUUCUCUUUUUGCCCAUACUUUGUGAUUUCUAGCGCACGCACGGCUGGCUGUCAUGCAUAGAAUGUUGUUGUUUUAUGUUUGUAUAAAUACUGAUAAUUUCCCGCGUUUUGCUAGUAUAGCGGGAAAAUGUUGUAUUAAUGACAGAUGUUUAUACGCAUGUUGUGUUGAUUGGUCAGAGAGUGACCAAUAGAAAUUGAUUUUGAGGUGUAGUAGAGAACUGGUUUUUAAAGGUUGGUCACUUCUAGCCGCCGACUUAAGCGUGCAACAGCUUAAUUUUCUUAUUUUAUAGAUAAGGGUAUAAAUGAAUAUAUUUUUUUAUUUUUUUUUCAUAGGGUUGAUAGAUAGGUUGUGAGGUCCGUCGCAACAAUUUUUGCAUCCAGCGGCACUUGGCAACGGACACAGUACAAGAGAAGCUUCCAGGGAAUACAGGGACCGCACUGAUGGCCGGGGUGUCUACGUUUCUCGUGCUUAGUGCCCUAGUUUUUGGUGUCGCCGUGUUUUUGUACCACAGAAACCUAAAACAACAAGGUGUUGAUAGGAACCAAAUUCUCCAGAAACAUGCAUUGAAUGGAUUGGGAGAGACCAACCACACUGCAGACCUGUAUGUAGAAGUGCCUUCAGAAAAUAAUGAGGAUGGUAUUUAAUCUAAUAAUAAAUGCAAGGAAAGUGUAAGUAGGUUGACAAAUCAACUCUUAUUACAAGUAAGUAAGGUACAGUAAGACAUUUUUGAAAAAAAAACCAAAAGAUGUGUUUGUGAAACACUGAUGCCCCCGUAUGUAAAAUUUUCUCAAAUUUAUAAAAAUCAAACAUGAUGAUACCAAAGUGACGCCUUCUCAAAGAAAUAAAAAUGUAUGUGAAAUAUAAAACCCUAGCACCACCUGAUCAAAAUUUAUGGCCCAGGUAAACGUUUUUUAAAGUUUAACUCCAGGGUCAAAGUUAUUUGUUUCUAAAGAAAGGCAUUGUCACAAAGAUUAUAAAUGGAAUAUGGUAAGUAUGAAUGUCCUAGCACCAAUGUAGUUCAAACGUUACUGCCAAUGUUAAAAAUUUUAAAGAGUAUGUCAAACUCCAAGGUCAAAGGGUCAGAGUUCUUGAUAUCCAAUGGAGGGUCUUCUCACAAAGAUUACAUAUGUGAAGAAUGAAAGCCCUAUCCCUUAACGUUCAAAAG